CCAGACUCCUACGGGAGGCAGCAGUCGGGAAUAUUGCGCAAUGGAGGAAACUCUGACGCAGUGACGCCGCGUAUAGGAAGAAGGUUUUCGGAUUGUAAACUAUUGUCGUUAGGGAAGAUAAAAGACAGUACCUAAGGAGGAAGCUCCGGCUAACUACGUGCCAGCAGCCGCGGUAAUACGUAGGGAGCAAGCGUUAUCCGGAUUUAUUGGGUGUAAAGGGUGCGUAGACGGGAAAUUAAGUUAGUUGUGAAAUCCCUCGGCUCAACUGAGGAACUGCAACUAAAACUGAUUUUCUUGAGUGCAGGAGAGGUAAGUGGAAUUCCUAGUGUAGCGGUGAAAUGCGUAGAUAUUAGGAGGAACACCAGUGGCGAAGGCGACUUACUGGACUGUAACUGACGUUGAGGCACGAAAGUGUGGGGAGCAAACAGGAUUAGAUACCCCGGUA
rnacentral:rRNA from 1 species